rnacentral:rRNA from 1 species
AUUGAACGCUGGCGGCAAGCCUAACACAUGCAAGUCGAACGAGUGGCGGAAGGGUGAGUAAUGUCGGGGAAACUGCAUGAAGGAGGGGGAUCACUACUGGAAACGGUAGCUAAACCCGCAUACCCUCAGAUUUGCCAAUAGGGGAUUAGCUAGUGGGUGUGGUAACGGCUCACCAAGGCGACGAUCACUAACUGGUCGGAGAGGAUGACCAGACACACUGGAACUGAGACACGGUCCAGACUCCUACGGGAGGCAGAAGUGGGGAAUAUUGCACAAUGGGCGCAAGCCUGAUGCAGCCAUGCCGCGUGUAUGAAGAAGGCCUUCGGGUUGUAAAGUACUUUCAGCGGGGAGGCGUUACCCGCAGAAGAAGCACCGGCUAACUCCGUGCCAGCAGCCGCGGUAAUAC